ACCCCCCCCUCUCCUUCGCGCAAUUUUUUGUCACUGAAUCGGGUUCCCUGUGUAUAGAAUUAUAUUUUUAGCGUCUUACUGAUUUCAAUAUUUUAUGAUUAGUUCGUCACUCUCCUUCUCGUCACUUGAAUACGAAAAAUAAUAGCUCCUCAACUGAGUCUUUUUAUCAUCCAAUUGCACGCUCUAAGCCAUGGUUUACAGUUUGUGUCAUCUUCUUUAGUGGGUCUUCUUUUGCAGAGCGUCGAGAGUACCAGACUAAAGCAGUGGUUCUCAAUUUGGGUAUUUUAAGACGGACAUAAAGACGCCAUUCUCCUUUGAAACACUUCCGUUUUGAUCUUUUCCUGAUCUUUUAGUAACGAAGUGGAACGAAUACUUUGAACUGAAAUUCGAUAAAACUCGAUCAAUUGCAGACUAUAAGAUAUUUGUGUUACCUAGCUCGUUUAGCUUUAUAUAGUUAUUCUAGGUAACUUCUACUAUUCUUUUGUAAAUGUACUUAUAUCUAUAUUUUUCUCUAUUGUAAUCUUUGGU